GCGCGCCGGCGCCUGCGCAAUCGCCUCCGAGCGCCCGGACCGGGAUGGCGGCCGUUUUGGAGUCUCUGCUGCGAGAGGAGCUGUCGGUCGCAACCGCCGUGCUGUGGAUCGCGCGCAGCGCCCAGAGUUCGGAGGAUGACUCCGGGGAGGCGGCCGCGCUGAUCUCACUUCGGCCGCUGCGGAAGGAAUUCGUGCCAUUCCUGCUGAACUUCCUGAGAGAACAGAGCAGCCGCGUCCUCCCGCAGGGCCCCCCAACCCCCGCCAAGGCCUCGGGCUCCUCGGCAGCCUUGCCAGGGAGACCCGGGGGCCCGCCGCGGGGCGGCCGCGGGGCGCGCAGCCAGCUCUUCCCUCCGACUGAGCCUUCGAGCGCCACCGCCGCUGAGGCCCCUUCGGCCCGCCGUGGGGGCAGGAGGCGGGGCCCGGGGCCGGCCCGUGAGCGAGGAGGCCGCGGCUCCGGGGCCCUGGAGGAGGGGGUCAGCGGGGAGAGCCUGCCCUGGGCCGGGGGCCGGAGGCCCAAGAGCUCUGGCAGCCCCGGCAGCCCCAGCCUCGCGCGGUCUGAUCCGCCAAACCUCAGCAACCUGGAGGAAUUCCCUCCUGUAGGCUCGGUUCCCCCCGGCUCUGCAGGCAGGACCAAGCCUUCACGCAGGAUCAACCCAACUCCGGUGAGCGAAGAGCGGUCACUCUCCAAGCCCAAGACUUGCUUCACCUCACCCCCAAUCAACUGUGUCCCCAGUUCACAACCCUCAGUCCUGGACACUAGCCCUUGGGGCCAUGGCCUUCCCCCAGGGUGCAGAAGUCUGCAAGAGGAGCGGGAGAUGCUCAGGAAGGAGCGCUCUAAGCUGCUGCAGCAGUCACCUGCUCCCGCCUGUCCCACCCCAGAAUCAGGAUGUCCUCACCCCAGCCGGACAGGAAACCUCACAGCUGAACCCGCUGACCCUGCCAGAGUAUCUUCCCGCCAGCGUCUGGAGCUGGUAGCCCUUGUCUACUCUUCAUGCAUUGCAGAAAACCUGGUACCAAACCUCUUCUUGGAGCUUUUCUUCGUCCUUCAGCUCCUUACUGCCCGGAGGAUGGUGGCUGCCAAGGACAGUGACCUUGAACCAAAUCCAGGAGCCGUAGAUUCCCUGGAAAGCCCUCUGUUCCAGAGUGUCCAUGAUUGUGUCUUCUUUGCAGUGCAGGUUUUGGAGCAUCAGUUUCACGUUCUUUCCCACCUGGACAAAGGGACCUUGAAGCUGUUGGCUGAGAAUGAACGGCUACUGUGCUUCUCACCAGCUCUGCAAGGCCGCCUGCGAGCUGCCUACGAGGGCAGUGUUGCCAAGGUCUCUCUGGCGAUGCCACCUUCUGCACAAGCUGUCUCCUUUCAGCCAGAAACUGACAAUCGUGCCAACUUCUCCAGUGAUCGAGCCUUUCAUACUUUUAAAAAACAGAGGGACGUGUUUUAUGAGGUGCUUCGAGAGUGGGAAGAUCGCCAUGAGGAGCCCGGCUGGGAUUUUGAGAAGGGCUUGGGCAGCAGGAUCAGAGCCAUGAUGGGUCAACUCUCUGCAGCCUGCAGCCACAGCCAUUUUGUUCGACUUUUCCAAAAACAACUUCUCCAGAUGUGUCAGAGUCCUGGUGGUGCUGGGGGCACUGUCUUGGGCGAGGCUCCGGAUGUGUUAAAUAUGCUUGGAGCUGACAAGCUGGGGCGGUUGCGGCGCCUGCAGGAACGGCUUGUGGCCCCUCAGAGCAGUGGGGGGCCCUGCCCACCCCCCACCUUCCCAGGCUGUCAGGGCUUCUUCAGGGACUUCAUCUUGAGUGCCAGCAGCUUCCAGUUUAAUCAGCAUCUCAUGGAUAGCCUGAGUUUGAAGAUCCGGGAGCUCAACAGCCUUGCCCUGCCUCAGCCUGAGCCCAGUGACGAAGACGGGGAGUCGGACGUGGACUGGCAGGGUGAACGGAGGCAGUUUGCUGUGGUGCUGCUCAGCCUGAGGCUUCUGGCUAAAUUCCUGGGCUUUGUGGCUUUCCUGCCAUACCGGGGGCCUGAACCACCCCCGACCCGUGAGCUCCAGGACACCAUUCUGGCCCUGAGGAGCCAGGUGCCCCCGGUCCUGGAUGUGCGGGCUCUGCUGCAGCAGGGGCUGCGGGCCCGCCGAGCAGUGCUCACGGUGCCCUGGCUGGUGGAGUUCCUUUCCCUGGCUGACCACAUUGUCCCCAUGCUGGACUAUUACCGCAGCGUCUUCACUCUCCUGCUGCACCUGCAUCGGAGCUUGGUCUUGUCAAAGGAGAGUGAAGGGGAGAUGUGUUUCCUGAACAAGCUGCUGCUGCUGGCUGUCCUGGGCUGGCUUUUCCAGAUUCCUACAGUCCCUGAGGACCUGUUCUUUCUGGAAGAGGGUCAGUUGGAUGCCUUUGAGGUGGACACAGUAGCAUCAGAGCAUGGCUUGGACAGCAUGCCUGUGGUGGACCAGCACCUGCUCUACACUUGCUGCCCCUAUAUUGGAGAGCUCCGCAAACUGCUCGCCUCCUGGGUAUCAGGAAGCAGUGGACGGAGUGGGGGCUUUGUCAGGAAAAUCACCCCCACCACCACCACCGGCCUGGGAGCCCAGCCUCCCCGGACCACCCAAGGGCUGCAGGCACAGCUGGCUCAAGCCUUUUUCCACAACCAGCCGCCCUCCCUGCGCAGGACCGUGGAGUUCGUGGCAGAGAGAAUCGGCUCGAACUGUGUCAAGCAUAUCAAGGCCACGCUGGUGGCAGAUCUGGUGCGCCAGGCAGAGUCGCUUCUUCAUGAGCAGCUGGUGACGCAGGGACAGGAAGGGGGAGAUCCAGCCCAGCUGUUGGAGAUCUUGUGUUCCCGGCUGUGCCCUCACGGGGCCCAGGCGUUGACCCAGGGGCGGGAGUUCUGCCAAAAGAAGAGCCCUGGUGCCGUGAGGGCAUUGCUCCCUGAGGAGACCCCAGCAGCCGUUCUGAGCAGUGCAGAGAACAUUGCUGUGGGGCUUGCAACAGAGAAAGCCUGUGCUUGGUUGUCAGCCAACGUCACAGCUCUGAUCAGAAGGGAGGUGAAAGCGGCUGUGAGUCGCAUGCUUCGAGCCCAGGGUCCUGAGCCAGCUGCCCGGGGGGAGCGGAGGGGCUGCUCCCGUGCCUGUGAGCACCAUGCUCCCCUCCCCUCCCACCUCAUCUCCGAGAUAAAAGACGUGCUCUCUCUGGCCGUGGGGCCCCGGGACCCUGAGGAGGGAGUUUCCCCAGAGCAUCUGGAGCAGCUUCUAGGCCAGCUGGGCCAGAUGCUGCAGUGCCGCCAGUUCCUGUGCCCACCUGCUGAGCAGCAUCUGGCAAAGUGCUCUGUGGAGUUAGCAUCCCUGCUUGUUGCAGAUCAAAUUCCUGUCCUAGGGCCCCCGGCACAGCACCAGCUGGAGAGAGGGCAGGCUCGAAGGCUCCUGCUCAUGCUGGUUUCCCUGUGGAAGGAUGACUUUCAAGUGCCGGUUCCACUGCAGCUGCUGCUGAGGCCAAGAAACGUGGGGCUUCUGGCAGCCACUCGGCCAAGGGAGUGGGACCUGCUGCUGUUCUUGCUCCGGGAGCUGGUAGAGAAAGGCCUGAUGGGACGGAUGGAGAUAGAGGCCUGCCUGGGCAGCCUCCAUGAGGCCCAGUGGCCAAGGGAUUUUUCUGAAGAAUUAGAGGCACUGUUCAACCUGUUUCUAGCUGAACCCCACGUGCCACAACCUCAGCUAAGAGCUUGUGAGCUGGUGCAGCCAAAUCGGGGGACUGUGCUGGCCCAGAGCUAGGGCUGGGAAGCGGCCCUACCUUGUGCAUCUCGCCAGAGCGCUGGAACCCAGCCUGACUGUGCCUCGGGAGGAGGCCCCAGAGCCACCCCAAGUGCCCACCCUGACCCUUGCUGGUGUGGAAGUAGCUCAGUCUGUCAUCAGGCUUCCUGCUCACGUGUGCAGGAAGAGAGUGGCAGCCUGGCAUCCCAGCGACUGUGGGCUCACCAUCCCAAGUCCUAAAGGAAGAAGGAGGGGGUCACCCGAUUCAGGAUUAUGGUGGAAGAACCUAGAGACUCCAGUCCUGGAGAAGAAGAGUUGGCAUUUAUUAUGAAAUGAUGUGUGGGGGCUUGUCGACACCAGAGUCAAGCCCCACUUGCUGCUGUCCCAGCAUCUCUUAGAGCUUUGUGGUUUGGGAAAUCAUGACAGAGACAAGUGACUUCUGCUUAACUUGUGUGGCUGAACGAAAGCACUGCCCCAGGAAGCUGAGCCCUGAGAACUGAAGCUGAGAAUCUCUCCGACCCCUGCACUUCAGGUAACCAUACAGAAUAUUCAAAGCUCGAGUUCAGCCAGGCUAAGUUACAAGAAAACUGAACCCAUUCUCCAUCCCAUCCUAGAAUAGAAGGGGCUACAGCAGUGUGUGGAAUGCUCAAGAGACCACUGAAGGCUGGGACCAAGUCUCUGAGUGAGGUAAGGAAUGGAAUUGCGCUUCCUCCUAACAAAUCACUUACCUCCUUCUAGGAGGUCCAUUAUCUUCCUUCCCGUCUCCAAAAGACAGUUUUUCAUCUCUGAAAUAAGAGAUGCCCGCGCCCCACCCCAAGUCCUCCUCAAAGAGCUAGGCCCCCACCCUAACCCCAAAUCUAUCCAGCCAGUUUCUACAGUGGUCUUCCCAUUCUUCUGAGCUCUGGAGUGGUGGCUCCGCGACAGAGCAUUACUCUAUACUCCUUACUGGGGCCAAGACCCAAACAAUUGUCUUCUGUGAGGGAAAGGAAGAGGGGGGCAAAGCAAAAAUUAAUAAUAAAGCAUUUUGUAAAAAUUCAAGGAGGAGAAACAAUUCUAAAUCAGUGUUCUGGUUUGUGCAGCUGUUUUUUUAAACCGUUUUCUGUUUCCUAACACCCCAUCCCACAGUGGAGCUGACUGCUGGAGCACAUUCUGAGCAGAGUCUUGGCCAAUGGCUCCUGCUUCCCUACCAGCCCCAGGGCUGCGCCGAACUAAGUAAGCACCAUGUCAGAGCACUGCAGGCUCCCAGCUCUGCUGGCUGUGUCCAGUCCUGAUCCUGGAGUGUGGACCCUGCCAUAGGGUCCCAGAGAC